AAUGUGGAUGAUGAAAACGUGACCUUAGGCAGGUUUGUUUUGAUCGUUUUGGUCAAUGUCUCAAACCUGUCGAUGUUAGGCCUUGUCAUAGUUACACUGAUCACAUU